GACUAGGUAGCUCAUUUGGAAGAGCAACUCAACUAGGUUGGGGAGGUUCCAGGUUCAAAUCCUGGUCUAGUAC
rnacentral:tRNA from 1 species